rnacentral:rRNA from 1 species
AUUGAACGCUGGCGGCAUGCCUUACACAUGCAAGUCGAACGGCAGCGGACCUUCGGGUGCCGGCGAGUGGCGAACGGGUGAGUAAUAUAUCGGAACGUACCUUUCAGUGGGGGAUAACGUAGCGAAAGUUACGCUAAUACCGCAUAUUCUGUGAGCAGGAAAGCAGGGGAUCGCAAGACCUUGCGCUGAUUGAGCGGCCGAUAUCAGAUUAGCUAGUUGGUGAGGUAAAGGCUCACCAAGGCGACGAUCUGUAGCGGGUCUGAGAGGAUGAUCCGCCACACUGGAACUGAGACACGGUCCAGACUCCUACGGGAGGCAGCAGUGGGGAAUUUUUGGACAAUGGGCGCAAGCCUGAUCCAGCCAUGCCGCGUGAGUGAAGAAGGCCCUCGGGUUGUAAAGCUCUUUCGGCCGGGAAGAAAUCGCACGGGUUAAUACCCUGUGUGGAUGACGGUACCGGAAUAAGAAGCACCGGCUAACUACGUGCCAG